rnacentral:rRNA from 1 species
AACGAACGCUGGCGGCAUGCCUAACACAUGCAAGUCGAGCGCCGUAGCAAUACGGAGCGGCGCACGGGUGAGUAACGCGUGGGAACCUGCCCAGAGGUUCGGGACAACCGCGGGGAACUGCGGCUGAUACCGGAUGAUACCUGAGGGUCAAAGACUUAUCGCCUUUGGAGGGGCCCGCGUCAGAUUAGGUAGCUGGUGAGGUAACGGCUCACCAAGCCUGUGAUCUGUAGCUGGUCUGAGAGGAUGACCAGCCACACUGGGACUGAGACACGGCCCAGACUCCUACGGGAGGCAGCAGUGGGGAGUAUUGGACAAUGGGGGCAACCCUGAUCCAGCAAUGCCGCGUGGGUGAUGAAGGCCUUCGGGUUGCAAAGCCCUUUCGGCGGGGACGAUGAUGACGGUACCCGCAGAAGAAGCCCCGGCUAACUUCGUGCCAGCCGCCGCAGUAACAC